rnacentral:rRNA from 1 species
UACGUAGGGUGCAAGCGUUAAUCGGAAUUACUGGGCGUAAAGGGCGCGCAGGCGGCCUGUUAAGUCAGAGGUGAAAUCCCCGGGCUUAACCUGGGAAUGGCCUAUGGGACUGGCAGGCUAGAGGAUGGCAGAGGGAGGCGGAAUUCCACGUGUAGCAGUGAAAUGCGUAGAGAUGUGGAGGAACACCGAUGGCGAAGGCAGCCUCCUGGGUUAAUCCUGACGCUCAUGCACGAAAGCGUGGGGAGCAAACAGG